GGACUUCCAUUCCAACUUCAAUCUCAGCUUCAAGGAGAAGACCUAAUCCCAAGUUUCUUUUGGUGGAGUUGGAGAAAGGAGGAGGCCACUGAUUGCUUGCUCAUGACGGCGAAGAGUACAGGCUUCGAAGCAGAAGAAGCUUCAGCUUCGAAGUUCUUGUUGGCCAUGUUUGGAUUAUGGGCCCAUAACUAUGAAGAGAUUAGCUGCACCGAUAUAAAAGAUGUCAUUGAGCUGCCUGCCCUUUAACACUAACGGAGACACUGGAGAUGGCGACUUCAUUGGAACACAGGUAGAAGUGAGAUCUCUCUCCCUUUCUUAGUUUGGAAGUCCAUAUACUGAAAUGUUCCUUUGCUGACAAAGUGAGAUUUACUACAGUGAUCUGACCUAAAUCUCUGUUACAAUGGGACCACAUUACAACAUAACAUGUGGUUUCGGGCUAAAGAGGCAAAGUGGUUCUAAAAGCUGAUCCUUUUGAGUUCUAACUUCUUAAUGGAUGUCGAAAGAGGAAGAUGUGGCCACCUCCAUUAGAAAGUUUUGGUGCCAUGGUGGUUUAUGCCAUCAGCAAGCUACAGGGAAAAAAGGUUUAUGGUAAGGAGAUGCCUGCUAUCUUUCAGAUGAAGAUCAAUACUUAUUCUGUUUGGUUUCAGUUCCUCCAAGUAUUUGGUGUGGUCCUUGUUAUAUAUGGGAGAAUAUGGUAGGAGUUGGUUGUCAGCAAGUGACUGGAGAACAGAUAGGAAGCAUUGCUUUCAGAUUUUAGCUCUCCUGAAUCUUGUCCCAAUCAAAACUCCUGUAGCUGAAGCCUUCAUGUGCGGGUGUGCUGCUCAUGGGCAAGAAAUGAAGAAGGACCUGACCCGGGAUUUCGAGGUUCUGCAAUCUAGUAUGCUUUAUCUGCACCCAAUACUCUUUUGAGUUCAGAAUGGAUUGUCAAUUUCCAGACACUUGAACUUGAGCAAACUUGACUAUUUAUCUGUUGUCUUUGACACCGAAAGGCUGUGAUUCCAGUGGGCACGGAAUAGGGUUCCAGAAAGCAAGCCAGUUUUCUCCAACCCAACAAAACCACAAUGAUGAUGCCAACUUGCAAGAUAUUGGGGUUGCUGGACCACCUGAUCCCAGUUAGAGAUAAGUACAGAUCUAAAGAAUCUCAAAGAUAGAUCAUAUGAUGAUCUUGUUGUUCCCUGCAUCGUGUCAUGUGAAAAGAACAAGCUAAACCAUUUGCACAGAAACAUUCUUGACAUUGAAUUAUUGGCAUGCAGGAUAUAUGGUCAGGAAUGCAUUACCUAAAGAUCUCCACUAGUCAACUGUUCAGUUCUGCUGACAAGUCUAUUUCUCAUUGGUGGAUUUGCAAGUAGCAAAAAUGUGACAGACAAGUUCCAUCCUUGCUUCCAACUACACAGAUGAUUGCUGUUAAAGACCCGGAGGACUAUAGGUGCUCAUGGGAGCAACUGGCAAGCACAAUGUGGUAGUGUAGACCAGCACCUAGACUAAGACAACUAAACCUCAUCUGUGGAACAUAAUUUCCUAUCAAACUUCCAAGUUGCUCCAACACAAAAAUGACACCUUUGGAAAGCUGCACCAUUGGAUUUUGUUGGGGGAUGUGGCAUUGAAACUCAAUUCAGAGGAUUUUCUAAAGCAAAUGCAUACUGCCAAAUAAAAAUGAGUGGUUCUUUUGUUAACCUAAUCUAAGAAACAAAAGAUGCUGGUGUCAAAAAAGCAAGGAGAUGCCAUUCGAGUGGAGUUAAUUGAAUCCAAACAAAAGAGGGGACUGAGGAGACAAAUAAGAGUUAAAUAUCUGAAGGAAAAAGGAUGUUUUUUCUCACAGAAAAGGAAAUAAAAGGGAAGAAAACAGAGACGCAGCAGAUCGAUAGGAGAAUGCUAAUUACCAUGGCUGUACCAUGUACACUACUUGUACAUGAAAAGAUAUGUUAUCCUUUGCAGUUGUAUCCUAUUGUGGAUAAAAAGGAGAAAAAAGCAAAAUGAUUCCAGACAAGUUACUAUUUAGUCAAUGAGAUGUCGAACCGGAUGAUAAGACUAUCUUACUCCUUUAUUCGGUGAUACAAUGACAUUCACAUCAAGAAUACUAAUCUUAGUAUAUAGAAUUAAAUUACAAAUAUGUAUCAAUCUAUCAAAGAAACAGAUGAUAUCAGAAUCAAAGACAACGUAUUGGUCAGGAAUAACAAGAAUGGGAUGUUAAAUGUGAAUCGCAAAGCUGAAAGCCCUGGAAAUAUGCCAACAAUAGAACAACAAGAACAAGUAAAAUUUGGCAAGCAGCAAGGAUGGUAAUCCCAGAAUUGGCAUCAAAGUCUUACUCUACUAGAAUAUAUGUCAUAGUUAUUCAGGGAACAAACCAGCAUUUAGUGAGCAAAACAAUCAGUAAUGUUUAUUCUAAUUUUCUGUAUGAUGCCAACAAGACAAGGAUCAAAGACUUAUAUGGUUCAGACUCAAUUUUGAUCAAUUUGCUCUUUAGAUUAUAGAUUUUGUGAUUUGUUUUCCUCAUUUGAGCAGGGAGAAUAAGAGAAUCCAAGAUGAAGCUCUCACCUGAACAGACCGAGUAAUAUCUCCAUGAUUUGUCUGAAUUUUGAUCCAGCUAAAUUUGACCAGUGAAUGAUCAGGUUUCUAGGAUAAUUGCAGAAAGAAGGAAGCUGAUAUCUUGUUUUAUGUUGCCACACAGUCUCAGGCAAAUAGCAGACAUUAUCUUGACUCAGAUUCCUUGUGUUGUGUAAACAAAGCCCUAACACCAGAUAUUUUGGAAUAGGAGAAUGCAGCUGUGAGUUCUUUACAAAAUACUUGAUGGAGAAGAUGAAUCUACUGUAUUCACAAAGCAGUUCCCAGAUGGUAACACGGAGAUGAUCAUUAACAAGAAGGAUGACAACAGGAAAAGAUAUAAUCACAGUUGCAGGCAAAUUCAAGCUUCAAACUUGGAAAGUUGAUAUUUUUCAUGCUCAUUUGACAAACUGAAAGAGUGCAAUUCCUUGCUAAGAUCUCAAGUAUAACUCAAGCUAAAUGGUCAACCAGUAAUCUAUGAUGUCAUGAUGUCUCACUUUGAUCAUUCACUGUUGGACAUUCUUUCCUGCAUCCUUUCAACAGGACUGGUCGAUUGAAGGUUGUGGAGGACAUCCGAAAACUAAUCCUUCGUAUUUCUGAAAGUAUUUUCUGCAAUUAAUUGCGGGGGACAUGCUUUAUAUUUCAAGUUGAGUCUACGUUUUAUGGGAGUUUCAAGCAUAGUUUUAAGCCUCCUCUCAACAUUUAUACAACAAUCACAAACAAGACGCAAACAAAUGCAAUCUUUGUAAUGGAGUAUUCUUUUCAGAUUCAUCUCCGAGAUACUGCAACUGAGUGGCCAAAUUAAAUUGUGUUGGGUGAUUACUCUGAGAGACACAAACAUAAGUUCAGUGGCAUGCUCCUUGAGACAAGAUUACAGUAUGUUUUACACACUGUUUUACCUAGAUUGAGCACAUAGUGGAAAAAGCCAUGUAUGCGUCCUUACACUACAACAGGAGAGACCAUUGAUAUCAUUUUAUCUGAUAUAUGACAUAGUUUGCUACUUUGCUUGUAGUA